AGGACGAACGCUGGCGGCGUGCUUAACACAUGCAAGUCGAGCGGAAAGGCCCUUCGGGGUACUCGAGCGGCGAACGGGUGAGUAACACGUGAGUAAUCUGCCCCUAGCUCUGGGAUAGCUCCGGGAAACCGGGAUUAAUACCGGAUACGACCACCUUAGACAUCUUUUGUGGUGGAAAGAAUUUCGGCUAGGGAUGAGCUCGCGGCCUAUCAGCUUGUUGGUGGGGUAACGGCCUACCAAGGCGACGACGGGUAGCCGGCCUGAGAGGGCGACCGGCCACACUGGGACUGAGACACGGCCCAGACUCCUACGGGAGGCAGCAGUGGGAAUAUUGCGCAAUGGGCGAAAGCCUGACGCAGCGACGCCGCGUGGGGAUGAAGGCCUUCGGUUGUAAACCCCUUUCAGCAGGGACGAAGCGAAAGUGACGGUACCUGCAGAAGAAGCGCCGGCUAACUACGUGCCAGCAGCCGC
rnacentral:rRNA from 1 species